ensembl:lncRNA
AGUUUCCAGAUGGAAUCCCGGUGGAAUCUCAUGGUGAACGCGAUGAUAAUCCGUCGGUCUCUCCCCUCUUCCUUCCUUUCAAUGCAAUGAACAGUAUCCACAACAGAUUCCAUCUAAUUGUUACACUGCAGCACUAGUUCAGACAGGAUACUCACGACGACGUCUCGGGUGCUUUCGUCGACUUUUUCUUUCAAUCCAUGUAUUUUAAGGUUCCAGCGUCUCUUGUAGCGCUCCAACUCCGUGACCUUUUCUUUCAGCUCAUUAUUUUCUUUUACUAGACGGGGCGUUUCUUUUUCUAUGGCUUAUCUUGACCUUGCACUCUUUAAUCUCAGUGGCAUUCAGCUUCACAAGUUUGGUGAUGACAGCCACCAUGAUUGAGUUUUCUCUCAGCUGGUCACCGAAGCUGUCAAUUUUGGAGAUCCCACCAGUUUGCCCAUCCAAGAGGAAUUUGUUUAUCGAGCAGAAACUGUCACACUCAUUGACGAAUCGGGGCACAUCCUUAAUGAUGAAUGUGUUCAGCCUGAAGAGGUGUCUUUGGCCACAAUCUGGCAAAAGUGGCAAUCCCUAAGCAAUGAAAGAUGGCACAUUGCAAGGGAGGCCAUGGUCAAAAAUCUUUUGGUAGCUGAACAUGUUCAGGAUUGCAUCUGCCAACACUGUUUUACUGCUGAGGCCAUUGCAGGGUGCAGGGACUGUCUACCUAGGCAGUAUCUAUGCACCAUGUGUGAUGGAGAUGUCCAUCAGCACCUACCUCUCCAUAACAGGGACUCUAUGGCCCCUGGGUUCUUUAAGCUCUUGUGUCCAACCACUGCAGUGAGGAGACAUUCCGAGACAUUUGAGUUCUCUGAACAGGUCCGAUAUCUUCCACUACUUUUGCCAGACAAAAUCUGUGCCUGUUCAGAAGGUUCAUGCAGAGUGAUCAGUGGCAAGCAUAUUAUUGUAAUAAAUUUGAAUGUACGGUACAGACUCACCCUUCCAUCACUGGAGUGCUCAUGCUGCAGGAGAAAAUGGGUUGGGGUUCAGUGAUCUCCUCAAGUCUGGCUACUGGCCAGCCUCUAUACAUUUUGAGACCAACAGAGUGGUAAAAUAUGUGGAGACACAUUCCAGAGAGCCUUUCUGGAGUGAACCUUUGCCCUGCAUGAGGUUGAGAGGCUUUGUGGUGUCCAGCCAUUCAAAUGUCCC